GCCAGCAGCCGCGGUAAUACGGAGGGUGCGAGCGUUAAUCGGAAUUACUGGGCGUAAAGCGUACGCAGGCGGUUUGUUAAGCGAGAUGUGAAAGCCCCGGGCUCAACCUGGGAACUGCAUUUCGAACUGGCAAACUAGAGUGUGAUAGAGGGUGGUAGAAUUUCAGGUGUAGCGGUGAAAUGCGUAGAGAUCUGAAGGAAUACCGAUGGCGAAGGCAGCCACCUGGGUCAACACUGACGCUCAUGUACGAAAGCGUGGGGAGCAAACGGGAUUAGAUACCCCGGUAGUCCACGCCGUAAACGAUGUCUACUAGAAGCUCGGAGCCUCGGUUCUGUUUUUCAAAGCUAACGCAUUAAGUAGACCGCCUGGGGAGUACGGCCGCAAGGUUAAAACUCAAAUGAAUUGACGGGGGCCCGCACAAGCGGUGGAGCAUGUGGUUUAAUUCGAUGCAACGCGAAGAACCUUACCUACACUUGACAUACAGAGAACUUACCAGAGAUGGUUUGGUGCCUUCGGGAACUCUGAUACAGGUGCUGCAUGGCUGUCGUCAGCUCGUGUUGUGAGAUGUUGGGUUAAGUCCCGCAACGAGCGCAACCCCUAUCCUUAGUUGCUAGCAGGUAAUGCUGAGAACUCUAAGGAGACUGCCGGUGAUAAACCGGAGGAAGGUGGGGACGACGUCAAGUCAUCAUGGCCCUACGUGUAGGGCUACACACGUGCUACAAUGGCGCAUACAGAGUGCUGCGAACCUGCGAAGGUAAGCGAAUCACUUAAAGUGCGUCGUAGUCCGGAUUGGAGUCUGCAACUCGACUCCAUGAAGUCGGAAUCGCUAGUAAUC
rnacentral:rRNA from 1 species